UAUAUACGUCUCUUAUAUACGUCCCUGAUCAAAUCUAUUGAUUCAUUUAUAUCGUACUUAACAAUUGCAUAACUGUCUUUAAGAUACUUUCUCUGGUAAGUGUAUUUAGAGAGAAUAUCAUUCAGAAGCGUUUGAAAACUUGCAUAUUCUUAAGAUAAGUGUAGGUGGAUACAAGUUAUCUAUUUGUUGGGCAUUAAAAGAUAGAAAUUGAAUAGAAUAAUCAUUAUGGUAAAUUGUUUACUUAUUAAUUGUUUUUGGUUACAGUCAAAUAUAUACCACUUUAGUGUUUGUUUUUAUGGAAUAUAUUAAGAAACUUAAUGUAUGUGAAAGGGUUUCUGAAAUCAAAGAGAUUGUUACAGUGUAGAGAUGAAGGAAAGGUUCUUUAACGUGACUUUCCUUCAAUGUGCAAACACUAAUUCCAGAAUUCUUACUCAAGUGUGUUCUUGCCUAUUUAUUACGUCUUAUACAUACAUGAUUUCAUACUUGUUUAAGAAUAAAAACACUGAAAAAUGC
rnacentral:misc_RNA from 1 species